rnacentral:tRNA from 1 species
GUUGUAGCUCAGUGGUAUAUCGCUUGCCUUGCAUGCGUGAGGCACUGGGUUCAAAUCUCAGCACUACA